CACGUAGGGUGCGAGCGUUUGUCCGGAAUUAUUGGGCGUAAAGAGCUCGUAGGCGGUGUGUCGCGUCGGCCGUGAAAACCUGCAGCUUAACUGUGGGCUUGUGGUCGAUACGGGCAUCACUGGAGUUCGGCAGGGGAGACUGGAAUUCCUGGUGUAGCGGUGAAAUGCGCAGAUAUCAGGAGGAACACCGAUGGCGAAGGCAGGUCUCUGGGCCAACUACUGACGCUGGAGAAGCGGAAAGCAUGGGGAGCGAACAGG
rnacentral:rRNA from 1 species